GUUGUCCCGGUUUAAGCGUGUAGGCUGGUUUUCCAGGCAAAUCCGGAAAAUCAAGGCUGAGGCGUGACGACGAGGCACUACGGUGCUGAAGCAACAAAUGCCCUGCUUCCAGGAAAAGCCUCUAAGCAUCAGGUAACACGAAAUCGUACCCCAAACCGACACAGGUGGUCAGGUAGAGAAUACCAAGGCGCUUGAGAGAACUCGGGUGAAGGAACUAGGCAAAAUGGUGCCGUAACUUCGGGAGAAGGCACGCUGACAUGUAGGUGAAGUGAUUUACUCAUGGAGCUGAAGUCAGUCGAAGAUACCAGCUGGCUGCAACUGUUUAUUAAAAACACAGCACUGUGCAAACACGAAAGUGGACGUAUACGGUGUGACGCCUGCCCGGUGCCGGAAGGUUAAUUGAUGGGGUCAGCGCAAGCGAAGCUCCUGAUCGAAGCCCCGGUAAACGGCGGCCGUAACUAUAACGGUCCUAAGGUAGCGAAAUUCCUUGUCGGGUAAGUUCCGACCUGCACGAAUGGCGUAAUGAUGGCCAGGCUGUCUCCACCCGAGACUCAGUGAAAUUGAACUCGCUGUGAAGAUGCAGUGUACCCGCGGCAAGACGGAAAGACCCCGUGAACCUUUACUAUAGCUUGACACUGAACAUUGAGCCUUGAUGUGUAGGAUAGGUGGGAGGCUUUGAAGUGUGGACGCCAGUCUGCAUGGAGCCGACCUUGAAAUACCACCCUUUAAUGUUUGAUGUUCUAACGUGGACCCGUGAUCCGGGUUGCGGACAGUGUCUGGUGGGUAGUUUGACUGGGGCGGUCUCCUCCUAAAGAGUAACGGAGGAGCACGAAGGUUGGCUAAUCCUGGUCGGACAUCAGGAGGUUAGUGCAAUGGCAUAAGCCAGCUUGACUGCGAGCGUGACGGCGCGAGCAGGUGCGAAAGCAGGUCAUAGUGAUCCGGUGGUUCUGAAUGGAAGGGCCAUCGCUCAACGGAUAAAAGGUACUCCGGGGAUAACAGGCUGAUACCGCCCAAGAGUUCAUAUCGACGGCGGUGUUUGGCACCUCGAUGUCGGCUCAUCACAUCCUGGGGCUGAAGUAGGUCCCAAGGGUAUGGCUGUUCGCCAUUUAAAGUGGUACGCGAGCUGGGUUUAGAACGUCGUGAGACAGUUCGGUCCCUAUCUGCCGUGGGCGCUGGAGAACUGAGGGGGGCUGCUCCUAGUACGAGAGGACCGGAGUGGACGCAUCACUGGUGUUCGGGUUGUCAUGCCAAUGGCACUGCCCGGUAGCUAAAUGCGGAAGAGAUAAGUGCUGAAAGCAUCUAAGCACGAAACUUGCCCCGAGAUGAGUUCUCCCUGAGACUUUAGGUCUCCUGAAGGAACGUUGAAGACGACGACGUUGAUAGGCCGGGUGUGUAAGCGCAGCGAUGCGUUGAGCUAACCGGUACUAAUGAACCGUGAGGCUUAACCUUACAACGCCGAAG
rnacentral:rRNA from 1 species